GACGAACGCUGGCUGCGUGCUUAACACAUGCAAGUCGAACGCUGAAGCCUGGUGCCUGCACCGGGUGGAUGAGUGGCGAACGGGUGAGUAACACGUGAGUAACCUGCCCCUGACUUCGGGAUAAGCCCGGGAAACUGGGUCUAAUACCGGAUACGACUGCCGGACGCAUGUCUGGUGGUGGAAAGUUUUUUCGGUUGGGGAUGGGCUCGCGGCCUAUCAGUUUGUUGGUGAGGUAAUGGCUCACCAAGACGACGACGGGUAGCCGGCCUGAGAGGGCGACCGGCCACACUGGGACUGAGACACGGCCCAGACUCCUACGGGAGGCAGCAGUGGGGAAUAUUGCACAAUGGGGGAAACCCUGAUGCAGCGACGCAGCGUGCGGGAUGACGGCCUUCGGGUUGUAAACCGCUUUCAGCAGGGAAGAAGCGCAAGUGACGGUACCUGCAGAAGAAGUACCGGCUAACUACGUGCCAGCAGCCGCGGUAAUACGUAGGGUACGAGCGUUGUCCGGAAUUAUUGGGCGUAAAGAGCUCGUAGGUGGUUGGUCACGUCUGCUGUGGAAACGCAACGCUUAACGUUGCGCGUGCAGUGGGUACGGGCUGACUAGAGUGCAGUAGGGGAGUCUGGAAUUCCUGGUGUAGCGGUGAAAUGCGCAGAUAUCAGGAGGAACACCGGUGGCGAAGGCGGGACUCUGGGCUGUAACUGACACUGAGGAGCGAAAGCAUGGGGAGCGAACAGGAUUAGAUACCCUGGUAGUCCAUGCCGUAAACGUUGGGCACUAGGUGUGGGGGGCAUUCCACGUUCUCCGCGCCGUAGCUAACGCAUUAAGUGCCCCGCCUGGGGAGUACGGUCGCAAGGCUAAAACUCAAAGGAAUUGACGGGGGCCCGCACAAGCGGCGGAGCAUGCGGAUUAAUUCGAUGCAACGCGAAGAACCUUACCAAGGCUUGACAUACACCGGACCGUCCUGGAAACAGGUCUUCUUCUUUGAAGCUGGUGUACAGGUGGUGCAUGGUUGUCGUCAGCUCGUGUCGUGAGAUGUUGGGUUAAGUCCCGCAACGAGCGCAACCCUCGUUCUAUGUUGCCAGCACGUGAUGGUGGGAACUCAUAGGAGACUGCCGGGGUCAACUCGGAGGAAGGUGGGGAUGACGUCAAAUCAUCAUGCCCUUUAUGUCUUGGGCUUCACGCAUGCUACAAUGGCUGGUACAGAGAGAGGCGAACCCGUGAGGGCAAGCGAAUCCCUUAAAGCCAGUCUCAGUUCGGAUCGUAGUCUGCAAUUCGACUACGUGAAGUCGGAGUCGCUAGUAAUCGCAGAUCAGCAACGCUGCGGUGAAUACGUUCCCGGGCCU
rnacentral:rRNA from 1 species